rnacentral:rRNA from 1 species
ACGACCUUCGGGUAGCUUGCACAGGUGCUGCAUGGCUGUCGUCAGCUCGUGUCGUGAGAUGUUCGGUUAAGUCCGCUAACCGAGCGCAACCCUCGCUUGUGUGUUAUAUGUGUCACACGGGACUGCCGGUCUUAAAGCCGGAGGAAGGUGGGAUGAUGUCAAGUCAGCAUGGCCUUUAUAUCCUGGGCUACACACACGCUACAAUGGCCAACACAAUAGGUUGCUAAGCCGCGAGGUGGCGCCAAUCCAUAAAGUUGGUCUCAGUUCAGAUUGUAGGCUGCAACCCGCCUGCAUGAAGAUGGAGUUGCUAGUAACCGCAGGUCAGCUAUACUGCGGUGAAUACGUUCCCGGGGCUU